rnacentral:rRNA from 1 species
UACGUAGGGUGCAAGCGUUGUCCGGAAUUAUUGGGCGUAAAGAGCUCGUAGGCGGUCAGUCGCGUCUGCUGUGAAAAUCCGGGGCUCAACCCCGGACUUGCAGUGGGUACGGGCAGACUAGAGUGUGGUAGGGGAGACUGGAAUUCCUGGUGUAGCGGUGAAAUGCGCAGAUAUCAGGAGGAACACCGGUGGCGAAGGCGGGUCUCUGGGCCGUAACUGACGCUGAGGAGCGAAAGCGUGGGGAGCGAACAGG